rnacentral:rRNA from 1 species
CCUUAGAGUUUGAUCCUGGCUCAGGACUAACGCUGGCGGCGUGCCUAAUACAUGCAAGUCGAACGGUCGUGCGUUUGUAGCAAUAUGGACGUACGAUAGUGGCGAACGGGUGAGUAACACGUGGAAAACCUACCCUCGAGCGGGGGAUAACUCCGGGAAACUGGGGCUAAUACCGCAUGACAUCCCAACCUGGCAUCGGGAGGGGAUCAAAGCCGAAAGGCACUUGAGGAUGGUUCCGCGGCCUAUCAGCUAGUUGGCGGGGUAACGGCCCACCAAGGCGACGACGGGUAGCCGGCCUGAGAGGGCGAUCGGCCACAAGGGGACUGAGACACGGCCCCUACUCCUACGGGAGGCAGCAGUAGGGAAUUUUGCUCAAUGGGGGAAACCCUGAAGCAGCGACGCCGCGUGGGCGACGAAAUCCUUCGGGAUGUAAAGCCCUUUUAACCGGGACGAAAUACAUGACGGUACCGGUGGAAUAAGCCUCGGCUAACUCCGUGCCAGCAGCCGCGGUAAGACGGGGGAGGCAAGCGUUGUCCGGAAUCACUGGGUGUAAAGGGCGUGUAGGCGGGCCGGCUAGUCGGUUGUUAAAUCUCUCCGCUCAACGGAGAAGCUGCGGCCGAUACUUCCGGUCUUGAGUGCGGCAGGGGAGGAUGGAAUUCCUGGUGUAGCGGUGAAAUGCGUAGAUAUCAGGAGGAACACCGGUGGCGAAGGCGGUCCUCUGGGCCUGCACUGACGCUGAGUGCGCGAAAGCUGGGGUAGCAAACAGAAUUAGAUACUCUGGUAGUCCCAGCCCUAAACGA